CAGAACAGAUAAAAGGCAACAGCAACAUUGCAAUGUGUAAUUAUCGUUGUCACUAAUUAAAGUUGGAUGACUAAAAAAGAAAACAGAACCACACCAUUCCGAAUCUUAUCAUGGGUGGCCAGGGGAUUUUCAAGACACAGACUCGGUGGAAAGCCGAAGCAGACAACCUGGCGAACUAGCGAUAAGUCUGCGGAAUUUAUUAACCAACUUGGGUCUCGUUUUGGUUCUUGGGCCGUAAAGUCAAUAAGUGUCUAAAAUUAAUGAGUUUUAUGGAGCCGCACCUGAAAACAUUUGACCUCAAGUACAUAAGUCUUGAUGCCCAUUUUGGAAAGAAUCUUGCUAGAAUUUUCUGGAACUGGACUCUUUACACGUCUUUUUUUUCAUAACGAUCACUUCUGAAGUGGAUUUCUUUGAAGCUUCUGAGGAUGAGGAUUC